AAAAGAUUAGAAAAUUUUUUGGUAUUGCCAUUCUGAAUUGAACGCUCUUGAGAACUUCUUGCAAUGGCAUCAUACAUUAUGAACCAUUUUGGUUUUGGGACAUUACUUAGAAUGCGUAAGAAGUCAUAUUGUGACUGACAAAGCUGGCAUCUACUACCAUCCAAAGCUUAUUGUGUUGCUGACCUAUUUUUCAGUUCACCAUUGCUGAAAAAAACAUUU
rnacentral:misc_RNA from 1 species